AACUUGCCCCGAGAUGAGUUCUCCCUGAGACUAUAAGUCUCCUGAAGGAACGUUNNGNNGAAGACGACGACGUUGAUAGGCCGGGUGUGUAAGCGCAGCGAUGCGUUGAGCUAACCGGUACUAAUGAACCGUGAGGCUUAACCUU
rnacentral:rRNA from 1 species